rnacentral:tRNA from 1 species
GGCAAGAUGGUCGAGCGGUCUAAGACGUUACGUUCAGGUCGUAAUCUCCCCUGGAGGCGUGGGUUCAAACCCCCACUCUUGUCA